rnacentral:rRNA from 1 species
UACGUAGGGUGCGAGCGUUAAUCGGAAUUACUGGGCGUAAAGCGUGCGCAGGCGGUGCUGUAAGACCGAUGUGAAAUCCCCGGGCUUAACCUGGGAACUGCAUUGGUGACUGCAGCGCUGGAGUAUGGCAGAGGGGGGUGGAAUUCCACGUGUAGCAGUGAAAUGCGUAGAGAUGUGGAGGAACACCGAUGGCGAAGGCAGCCCCCUGGGCCAAUACUGACGCUCAUGCACGAAAGCCAGGGGAGCGAACGGG